rnacentral:rRNA from 1 species
ACUGAACGCUGGCGGCAGGCUUAACACAUGCAAGUUGAGCGGAGCGAGGGUGCUUGCACCUUAGCUUAGCGGCGGACGGGUGAGUAAUGCUUAGGAAUCUGCCUAUUAGUGGGGGACAACAUUCCGAAAGGAAUGCUAAUACCGCAUACGCCCGACGGGGGAAAGCAGGGGAUCUUCGGACCCUGCGCUAAUAGAUGAGCCGAAGUCGGAUUAGCUAGUUGGUGGGGUAAAUGCCUACCAAGGCGACGAACUGUAGCGGGUCUGAGAGGAUGAUCCGCCACACUGGGACUGAGACACGGCCCAGACUCCUACGGGAGGCAGCAGUGGGGAAUAUUGGACAAUGGGCGGAAGCCUGAUCCAGCCAUGCCGCGUGUGUGAAGAAGGCCUUUUGGUUGUAAAGCACUUUAAGCGAGGAGGAGGCUCUUAAGGUUAAUACCCUUGAUGAGUGGACGUUACUCGCAGAAUAAGCACCGGCUAACUCUGUGCCAGCAGCCGCAGUAAUAC